rnacentral:rRNA from 1 species
AUACGGAGGGUGCAAGCGUUAUCCGGAUUUAUUGGGUUUAAAGGGUGCGUAGGCGGCUUGGUAUGUCAGAGGUGAAAUCCUGCGGCUCAACCGUAGAAUUGCCUUUGAAACUGCCAGGCUUGAGUCCGUGAGAGGUUGGUGGAAUUCCUGGUGUAACGGUGAAAUGUGCAGAUAUCAGGAAGAACACCCGUGGCGAAGGCGGCCAACUGGCACGGUACUGACGCUGAGGCACGAAAGCUAGGGUAUCGAACGGGAUUAGAAACCCCAGUAGUCC